UGGCGAACGGGUGAGUAACGCGUGAGGAACCUGCCUCAAAGAGGGGGACAACAGUUGGAAACGACUGCUAAUACCGCAUAAGCCCACGGUGCCGCAUGGCACAGAGGGAAAAGGAGCAAUCCGCUUUGAGAUGGCCUCGCGUCCGAUUAGCUAGUUGGUGAGGUAACGGCCCACCAAGGCAACGAUCGGUAGCCGGACUGAGAGGUUGAACGGCCACAUUGGGACUGAGACACGGCCCAGACUCCUACGGGAGGCAGCAUG
rnacentral:rRNA from 1 species